AUCCAUAGUCGAAGAAUCGUCACCGUUCGAAGCUUGCACAAUGGGCAUAUGUCUCAGGCUUUUUAAAAGCCAACCAAGCUUUGGGUAGAAAGUCUCCCACCAGACCGUAUGCGGAAAACGCGAUGAGAUUUAAAAAUUUUUUAUAAAUCCUUUAAAUCCACUCAUCAGAAGCAGAAAAAGGCGGAGGGCAGAUUUCGGUCAGCCAUCAUGUCUUGCUUUGUUUCUCCUGUCCCUCAGACCCUUGGUUCUGUAGGUGUCUUCGGUAAUGAGACCUACACAAAUGGGUUUCAAACCAUAGUUAUGACGAUUGUGACAAUGGCCUUUCGAGCCUUGUUAUAACCCAAUGGAGCUUACUGUUCUCGGCUCAUGGA
rnacentral:RNase_MRP_RNA from 1 species